AAACGACUCUCGGCAACGGAUAUUUCGGCUCUUGCAUCGAUGAAGAACGUAGCGAAAUGCGAUACUUGGUGUGAAUUGCAGAAUCCCGUGAACCAUCGAGUCUUUGAACGCAAGUUGCGCCCGAAGCCAUUAGGCCGAGGGCACGCCUGCCUGGGUGUCACAC
rnacentral:rRNA from 1 species